UGGGGAAUAUUGGACAAUGGGGGCAACCCUGAUCCAGCGACGCCGCGUGUGUGAAGAAGGCCUGCGGGUUGUAAAGCACUUUCGAUGGGAACGAAAUGUGCCGGGUUAAUACCCCGGUAAGCUGACGUUACUCAAUGAAGAAGCACCGGCUAACUCUGUGCCAGCAGCCGCGGUAAUACAGAGGGUGCGAGCGUUAAUCGGAAUUACUGGGCGUAAAGCGCACGUAGGUGGCGACGUAAGUCGGGUGUGAAAGCCCCGGGCUUAACCUGGGAAUUGCAUUCGAUACUGCAUAGCUAGAGUAUGGUAGAGGGUAGCGGAAUUCCGGGUGUAGCGGUGAAAUGCGUAGAUAUCCGGAGGAACACCAGUGGCGAAGGCGGCUACCUGGACCAAUACUGACACUGAGGCUCGAAAGCGUGGGGAGCAAACAGGAUUAGAUACCCACGUAGUCCCUGAGCGGGCUGGCAAGGC
rnacentral:rRNA from 1 species